ensembl:lncRNA
CGCCGCCACCGCCACCGCCUGGCAGACCGCGGAGGAGUCCGCGCCGCCGAGAGAUGAGGGCCGCGCGCGGCGCUGAGAAAACAGCCUCCUGUCGCCUCCGGCUGCGGGACCUCCGGCCCGGGCACUCGCGCUCGUCCCGGUGCCCGAAGCCCGGCCACGGCGGCCAGGAGGACGGGAAGGGACGCCCCCGCCCCAGGCCAUGGAGCCGCGCGCGCUUGGCGCGAGGCCGUGGAGACUCGGCCGAAGCUGCGGCGACGAGAGGCCGGCAGCGCUAGAUGGAGAGCGGGGCCCAGCGGGCCGGGUCUGGCGGCGGGGACCUGCAGACCCCUGAGACCCCGGAGGAGGAGGUGGCACACCGCCUCCAGCCGACGCCCCGGUCCCGGAGGGACUCGCCGGCGCCCUUUCCCGCGGCUCGCGGACUUCGCUCCGUGAUGAAGUUUUCUCUUGUGUUUUCCCGAGGACUGUUCUCCACGUCUAGGACGCGCAUUCUGGCGGACACACGCAGUUUGCUUUGGGAGAUAACUUGCUUCGCUCCCACCCACAUCUCCUUUCCUUGACUCCUUCCAGUCGGACGUUCCAGAUCACUGAAUGGAGUUUUGAGUUGGACUCUUGUGUCCCUUACGGAAUCGAGCCUAAUCCUGGAGCACUGGGGCUGGAAGGGUUUCUGUAAAUGCAAGUUAGAUAAAAGGAAGACCUCUCGCUGGGGGAUCUAGUGAAUGGCACACAGUCUACCAUCACCGACAGGUUGGGGCGAAGCUGACUCUGCGCUUAGCCUGCCUGGAUGGGGCCCCCGACCUCUCAGGAGAGUCGGGGAUUGCCUAUUGCCUUUGCCCCGUGAAGUUGACAGGCAAGUGACAGGGGGUUGUUUCCAAGCUCUGCAAUUAACCUGGGCUUGUUGCAAGUUAGCCGGUUGAUUGAAUUUGGAAAUUCAAAAAACUGAAUUUUUUUGGUUUAUUAUUGCUUUUGAAGAGAAACUUUUCUCCAGAUUCUCAGAAGAAGGGUAGAUAAAGCCACGGUUGUGUUUUUUUGUCUACAGUGUGAGUUAAGAUACUGUACUGAUCUUAGAACCGUUUGUUGUUCAGUCGCUCAGACUCGGACAUGACUGAGCAACUUCACUCACUAUGUUGUUUGGUGGUGGUUGGUGAACUGAGCUAGACCAUUUGUGGUUUAAGUGGUGUUCCCUUACUCUUAAGAGCUAUUCUUUGGAGUAUUAGGUGAAGUUAUAAAAGUAUAUUCUUUUACUACGUUUUACUUCGCAGUUUAGUUAUAACAUUGUAUUCAGGUCCCAAGUUUCAAUCAGUCUAUUUUCCCGGGGUGGGGGCGGGUAGACCUUCAAACUGUUACAUCAUUAAAAAAAAAAAAAACCAAACUAAAAUAAGGGACCAAAGAAAGCACUUUGAUGAGAAGUGCAAUAAUUGUGCUCCUGCAGAAAUUAGUUGAAUUUCCUAGUUAGAGUUUCACUCAGUUUUAAGACUCAUUUGUUGAUUUAAAAAAGGCCAGAUUCCGUUAUCAUAGCAUAUUAGCUAUUCCAGAAACAGAAUUUCCUCUUCCUGUUGAUGCAGUGUAGUAUCAUGUGAAUGCCUACCUAAAAGAUUCCAUUAAAUAUUUAACCUAUUAAAAAAGCAUCUAUGGAGUGUACCUAUGUGCCAAGCACAGAGCUGUGCAUAAGAGUCAGCAGCAAACAAGUCAUUCAUGCCUCCCUACCUACAUGAGUUCACAGCCUGGCAAAGAGUGAAGCCCUAAGCCUUGGUGAGCUCAUGGGGAGACAUCACCUUGCCGCCUGGUUAGACUUUCCUGUACCUUCCCAGGUGAUACUUCCCAAGUCACACAGUGUCCUAGGUACCACAUAAGGACUGCCCAGUGAGCAACAGUGUCGCUCUAAGGCCCAGAUAUGUGCAACUUAGUACUUACUAGGCUCAUUCCUCUGGUAGUACCUUUUCCUGGGAGAUGUUGGCUACUUCUGUCUCCUUGACUCUCAACAGAGUGAAAUGUUUCCUCACUCAUGGUGAUGCAAAGGAGUAUCAUGAAAAGAUGGUUUUUAAGAGAGAGAAUUAAAAAUGUUCCUGUGCUGUGUGCUGAAUCUUUCCCUCUCGGCACAGCUAGGGUGGCCAAUCCUUGUCAAAUUACAAAAACUAUUGUGGUAAUCUCCAAAUUAUAUUAACUUGAAAGUGCCGUUUCUGGAAGGGACAUCUUCCUGGUCUUUCUUAUAAAAGAGCUUCUUGUAUAGGAACAAACAAGGAAGAUCCACAUUGACUGACUGCCUCAGACACAGGACAUCUGUGUGGAAAGAGAUCCACAGACAGUUUUACAUCUUCCUCUUCUAAAUAGUGCA